GCUUAAAUAGUUUAAUAAAAAUGUUAGGGUGUGGAUCUGAUGAUGUCUUCUGACUUUAGGCA
rnacentral:tRNA from 1 species